AGACAUUAAUUCAUCACUAGAACAAUAUAACAAAGCUCCACAUUAAAAGUAACUUAGGAGUCAAAAUGCUGAAAGAUUUAUGGGACCAGUUGAGACAUAGGCAUGUUGUAGAAAAGCUAGUUAGGGCCUAGAGAGAGAGGGCUCUGUGGGUAAAAAGCAUACGCUGCCCAGGUAUGAGGAUCUGAGUUUGAACCAGAACCAGAACCUAUAUAAAACCCUGACCUGUAGUGUGAACACGGCUGUCUUUGACCUCUACACUUGUGCAGUGGCUCACUACACCCAUGCCUAUCCCAUGAAUGUACAUGUGCAGAUGUGUGCACGUGCACGCACACACACACACAGACACACAGACACACAGAAUCAUUUUCAAAAGAUUCUAAAAGUACUUUUUAAAUGAUGAUCAUCAUGGUAAGUACCAAAAUAUGAAAAGUAAUGUUCAAAGGAACUGAUGCUUCUUGGAGGUAUUGCGACCACCAUGGCCUUUCCUCAUUUAGACAUGAUCAAAGUCAAGGUUUCCAUGGAAGCUGUCUGAGCUGAACAUCCCAGAAGACACAUUGACCCAGAGCCAGUAUUACCUUUCAUCCGUAAGCGUGGACUCCAAGUUAGACGUUUGAUACUCUUGCUUCUACUUGGCCUUGUUUAUCUAAUGGAGAUAGCUGAAGUGCCACAGGUACUGAUGCGACCAAGUUAAAUCUUCCCCCAAGAUUUAACUUCUUUCUCACUUUGAGUGUUUUUUAGUUUUUAUUUUGGGGUUUUUUGUUUAUCUGUCUGUCUAUUUGUUUGUUUUUCCUAGGCAGAGUAUCACUAUGUAGUGUUAGCUGUCCUGGAACUAUGUAGACCAGGCUGGCCUCAAACACAGAGAUCUGCCUGCCUCUAGUUCUUUAGUGCUGGGAUUAAAGGCAUGUGCCACCAAGCCCCCAGCUUUUCUCUCUCACUUUUUUUUUAAAGAUUUAUUUUAUUUAUUUUAUGUAAGUACACUGUAGCUGUCUUCAGACACCAAAAGAGGGAAUCAGAUCUUGUUACAGAUGGUUGUGAGCCACCAUGUGGUUGCUGGGAUUUGAACUCAGGACCUCUGGAAGAGCAGUCAGUGCUCUUAACCGCUGAGCCAUCUCUCCAGCUCCUCUCUCACUUUUAAAGAUAGAAAACAAUCAGAAAUGUGGUUAUCACUUCCUCUACCCUGGUACCUAGCUCAUCAGAUCUGGCUAUGGGUGGUGUCAAAUAUUUAUAGUUUGAAUUGAUUUGAUCUCCAGCAGUCUGAAACCACAAUAACCAGCAGACAAGUCCAGCUUUAACUUCUUACCUGAUGCAGUAAGAAAGGCAAUAAGCUUUCAUUGUCAGUUCUGUGACUUAAGCCUCUUUAGUUCCAAUAGAGGGGAAGAAAACGUUACAUGCUUUCUUUGGAGUCCUUCAGUGUUAACAGGCAACUGCUGGCUUCUAUUCUUAGGAGG
rnacentral:lncRNA from 1 species